GGGUCCGGACACACUGAGGAUUGACAGGCAAUAUUAAUACGUUUUGCUUCGGUAAACGCGUAUUAUGUUAAAUAUGCUAGUCCUUUCAUGAUUAUGUGAUAGGUGGUGCAUGGCCGUUCUUAGUUCGUGGAGUGAUCUGUCUGCUUAAUUGCGUUUCACUAAGGGCCUAUAAAUUUACGUGUGUUGCAUCGCACUUUGACCCCUUUCUUUAAUUAGAGAGCGCGUGUCUUAGUUUUCGCUUUGCUCAUACAAUUAGGUCCUGAAAGCAACGAACGUGACCGCAACCUCUUGUUGCCUUUAUACCAAACAUGUUUUGCGUCAAUUUUUACGAAUUGCGCGCAUUUCAUGAAAAAAGGCUUUUUAAACUAGAGGGACCGCUGUUACUUUCUUAAACCAGAGGAAGGUUGCGGCAAUAACAGGUCUGUGAUGCCCUUAGAUGUUCCGGGCUGCACACGUGCUACAAUGAUUAUUGCAGUGAGCAUCUCAUUUUUACACACCGCAUGCGCGAGUCCAUUUAUUCACCUUCGGGUGUUUUAAAUGUGUAUCUCUGCGCGCGGUAAAGCCUGCUUCGACAGUAAGUGG
rnacentral:rRNA from 1 species